GGAAGUGACAGAAGCUUCCGGCGGACGCCAGGGGACGGUGAGCGAGAAGGGACAAGUGCGGCCCGGAGGCGAUCUGUGCGCGAGGAGGCGCUGUGAAGACUGAGGCACAGCCCCUCCGAGGAAAGCCGAGAUUGUACGUUUCCUUGCCGGCUGAGCCGCGGCUCGUCCCCCGGAGCGACACAAAGAAGAAGUGGCCUUGCAUCCUGCUCCGCCUCCCGAGCCGGGUCCUUGGUCCCCGGAAGCCCUGGGCUGCCCCACUGGAGUUACCUUCUGUGCGUUCUCUCCUAAACCUACACGUUAUUCACGACUUUGUUCAUGACUAUGGAAAACAAAACAAAAACAAAAACCAAACCAAAGUUCCCUCGCCUGGCGAUGGUGCAAGCCUGUCUACCUGCUGGAGGAUGGUUGGAAUGUGCACACCUGGCUCGACCAAAAGAGGCACAGCUUAGGGGCGGCUUGGACCCAGCUCAAGUCUGGACUUGGCAGCUUUCCUGAGCCUGCCUAGGAAAGCAGGCUGGAGUGCAGGUGUCCCAGGGCUCUCUGGAGGAGCAGCAGCAACACCAUGCCUGGCUCUGGUGCCUUGGUCUCCUCGGAGAGGACGCUUGAAGGAAUGGCACUCAGCAGAGUACAGGCCCCGUAACAGUGCAGCGCAGCGACAUCCGCUGAGGACUGGACAGAAUGGUCCUGAUGCUUGGCAGUGAUCCGUACUUGGAUAACCCUCUGCAUGAAAGGGCAGUGAGCCAGGAACCUCAAGCCACCCGGGAGCAGGUGCCUACUUGGCGUUUUCUGAGACGAAAGGCAGCGGAGUGUGUAGCAAAGGUGGCGCUGGCUCUUGCUGCUUCUGAAGCUCCAUCUCGGCAGCCCUCUGCAGCGCCACCUCCACCAGCAACUGGAAGCUGCUGAAGUCAUCCUUGUCCUGCUCUGGGGGUGUGGGUGGUGGCGUAUUGAAGAGUCCACCCGUGGGGCUUCCAGCCUCUGCCCUAGUCAGCAGGGGUCACUGUAAAGCUCUGGCUGUUCUGGAACUCACUAUGUAGACCAAGGUGGCCUCAAAUGCUUCUUCUCCCUGAUUCCCAGGAUUAAAGCCACCAUGCUUGGGCUGGAGAGAUGGCUCACUGAUGUAAGAGCACUGAUUGCUCUUCCAGAGGUCCUGAGUUCAAAUCCCAGCAACCACGUGGUGGCUCACAACCAUCUAUAAAAAGGAUCUGAUGCCCUCUUCUGGUGUCUGAAGACAGCUACAGUGUACUCAUAUAAAUAAAAUAAAACUUAAAAAAUAAAAAAGCCA
rnacentral:lncRNA from 1 species